rnacentral:rRNA from 1 species
CAGUAGCCGCGGUAAUACAGAGGAUGCAAGCGUUAUCCGGAAUGAUUGGGCGUAAAGCGCGCGCAGGUGGUUUAAUAAGUCUGAUGUGAAAGCCCACGGCUCAACCGUGGAGGGUCAUUGGAAACUGUUAAACUUGAGUGCAGGAGAGAAAAGUGGAAUUCCUAGUGUAGCGGUGAAAUGCGUAGAGAUUAGGAGGAACACCAGUGGCGAAGGCGGCUUUUUGGCCUGUAACUGACACUGAGGCGCGAAAGCGUGGGGAGCAAACAGGAUUAGAUACCCCUGUAGUCCCUGUCUCUUAUAC